rnacentral:rRNA from 1 species
UGCCAUCCGCCGCGGUAAUACGGAGGGGGUUAGCGUUGUUCGGAAUUACUGGGCUUAAAGGGUGCGUAGGCGGGUUGGUAGGUCAGAUGUGAAAGCCCACGGCUCAACCGUGGAAUUGCGUUUGAAACCACCAGUCUUGAGGGGAUCAGAGGAGAGCGGAACUGAUGGUGGAGCGGUGAAAUGCGUUGAUAUUAUCAGGAACACCGGUGGCGAAAGCGGCUCUCUGGGAUCCUUCUGACGCUGAGGCACGAAAGCUAGGGGAGCGAACGGGAUUAGAUA